rnacentral:rRNA from 1 species
CAGUAGCCACGGUAAAACGAAGGGGGCUAGCGUUGUUCGGAAUUACUGGGCGUAAAGCGCACGUAGGCGGAUAUUUAAGUCAGGGGUGAAAUCCCGCAGCUCAACUGCGGAACUGCCUUUGAUACUGGGUAUCUUGAGUAUGGAAGAGGUUAGUGGAAUUGCGAGUGUAGAGGUGAAAUUCGUAGAUAUUCGCAGGAACACCAGUGGCGAAGGCGGCUAACUGGUCCAUAACUGACGCUGAGGUGCGAAAGCGUGGGGAGCAAACAGGAUUAGAUACCCGGGUAGUCCCUGUCUCUUAUAC